rnacentral:rRNA from 1 species
AUUGAACGCUGGCGGCAUGCCUUACACAUGCAAGUCGAACGGUAACAGGUCUUCGGAUGCUGACGAGUGGCGAACGGGUGAGUAAUACAUCGGAACGUGCCUAGUAGUGGGGGAUAACUACUCGAAAGAGUGGCUAAUACCGCAUGAGAUCUACGGAUGAAAGCAGGGGAUCGCAAGACCUUGUGCUACUAGAACGGCAGAUGGCAGAUUAGGUAGUUGGUGGGAUAAAAGCUUACCAAGCCGACGAUCUGUAGCUGGUCUGAGAGGACGAUCAGCCACACUGGGACUGAGACACGGCCCAGACUCCUACGGGAGGCAGCAGUGGGGAAUUUUGGACAAUGGGCGCAAGCCUGAUCCAGCAAUGCCGCGUGCAGGAUGAAGGCCUUCGGGUUGUAAACUGCUUUUGUACGGAACGAAAAGCCCCGGGUUAAUACCCUGGGGUCAUGACGGUACCGUAAGAAUAAGCACCGGCUAACUACGUGCCAGCAGCCGCAGUAA